UACAGGGGUGGCAAGCGUUGUCCGGAAUUACUGGGUGUAAAGGGUGCGUAGGCGGGUCGGUAAGUCAGUGGUCAAAUCCUAUAGCUUAACUAUAGACUAUCCAUUGAUACUGCUGAUCUUGAGUGCGAGAGAGAUGAGUGGAAUUCCAAGUGUAGCGGUGAAAUGCGUAGAGAUUUGGAAGAACACCAGUAGCGAAGGCGGCUCAUUAGCUCGUAACUGACGCUGAGGCACGAAAGCAUGGGUAGCAAACAGG
rnacentral:rRNA from 1 species